GACGAACGCUGGCGGCGUGCUUAACACAUGCAAGUCGAACGGAAAGGCCCUGCUUUUUUGGGGUGCUCGAGUGGCGAACGGGUGAGUAACAAGUGAGUAACCUGCCCUUGACUUUGGGAUAACUUCAGGAAACUGGGGCUAAUACCGGAUAGGAGCGCCUGCUGCAUGGUGGGGGUUGGAAAGUUUCGGCGGUUGGGGAGGGACUCGGGGCUUAUCAGCUUGUUGGUGGGGUAGUGGCUUACCAAGGCUUUGACGGGUAGCCGGCCUGAGAGGGUGACCAGCCACAUUGGGACUGAGAUACGGCCCAGACUCCUACGGGAGGCAGCAGUGGGGAAUAUUGUACAAUGGGCGGAAGCCUGAUGCAGCAACGCCGCGUGCGGGAUGACGGCCUUCGGGUUGUAAACCGCUUUCGCCUGUGACGAAGCGUGAGUGACGGUAAUGGGUAAAGAAGCACCGGCUAACUACGUG
rnacentral:rRNA from 1 species